AUACUUAUCUGGCAGAGGAGACACCAUGAUCAUGAACAUGGCUUUCUCAGGGUGAGGCUUAUCCACUGCACUCCAGAUAUGCUGACCCCUGAAAUAUCCCUAAAUGUUGGAAACACAACGGCAUAAUUUGUGGCCAUGAGGGGAUUAUAUUAACACUCUCCCUUG